GAUGAACGCUGGCGGCGUGCCUAAUACAUGCAAGUCGAGCGAACGGACGAGAAGCUUGCUUCUCUGAUGUUAGCGGCGGACGGGUGAGUAUCACGUGGAUAACCUACCUAUAAGACUGGGAUAACUUCGGGAAACCGUAGCUAAUACCGGAUAAUAUUUUGAACCGCAUGGUUCAAAAGUGAAAGACGGUCUUGCUGUCACUUAUAGAUGGAUCCGCGCUGCAUUAGCUAGUUGGUAAGGUAACGGCUUACCAAGGCAACGAUGCAUAGCCGACCUGAGAGGGUGAUCGGCCACACUGGAACUGAGACACGGUCCAGACUCCUACGGGAGGCAGCAGUAGGGAAUCUUCCGCAAAGGGCGAAAGCCUGACGGAGCAACGCCGCGUGAGUGAUGAAGGUCUUCGGAUCGUAAAACUCUGUUAUUAGGGAAGAACAUAUGUGUAAGUAACUGUGCACAUCUUGACGGUACCUAAUCAGAAAGCCACGGCUAACUACGUG
rnacentral:rRNA from 1 species